GACGAACGCUGGCGGCGUGCUUAACACAUGCAAGUCGAGGGCACUUUGGGGGCAACCCUGGAGUGACCGGCGAACGGGUGCGUAACACGUGAGCGACCUUGCCUCGUGGUGGGGGAUAGCCGGCCCAACGGCCGGGUAAUACCGCAUAUGGUGCUGACUCCGCAUGGAGACGGUAGCAAAGCUGUCGGGCAACCGAUGGCGCCACGAGGGGGGC
rnacentral:rRNA from 1 species